rnacentral:lncRNA from 1 species
AAAUAAUCUUUGUUGCUUAUCUGGGUCUGCACCUGAAACCCAUCUCAAUUCUCAACGAAUAAGUUCUCAAUUGGCGACUUUGAAUCAGCAAGAAUGCCUAUACACAGUGAUUAUUUGGAAAAUAGCAGCAACGUAGAGAAUAAAUAAACAAAGAGAAAGGACUUAAACAAAUAUGCACGCCUUAUUAUUUUUUAUUUUUUUCUAAGGACUUUUAGUUUUUUUUUGUUUGUUUUGUUCUAUACGUAUAUGGCUUAACUUGAUUUUUUUUUUUUUUUUUUGGUGUCCCCUUCAAGUAUGGGCCUCGAGCCCAGGCCCCAGUUGCCCUGGCCAAGGGCCGACUCUGUGUAGAACUAUAUUAUCUAAUCACGUAUUUUCUAUCAAUCUAAACAAUAAUUGUUUUAUUAUUUCUUGUGGACAAAUAUCAGUCCCUCCAAUUUAUUGAUAGUUCCAGAUUCAUAUAUUAAAGUUAAUAAUAACCUUCAUUCAAAUUGUCAAUGUAAUUUGAGUGUAUUACUUUGUAAGUUGCUUAAAGAAUGAAAUUUAUACUUCAAGUGGAUAUCAUAUGAAUUAGAGGUGGGCACGGUUCGGUUUGGACCGGUUUUUGCCUCAAAUUAGAACCGAUCCGGUACUAUUCAUCCGGUUUGGUUCGGUUCGGUUUUAAUUAAAAAAAUUUCAAAAACUGUCCGGUUCGGUUUGAACCGGUUUCGGUCCGGUUCCGGUUCCGGUUCGGUUUUGAACCGGAUUAUAAAAAUUAUUUUUUUAAAUUAUUUUUUAAUACAAUUCUCAAUUGAAAUAUUAUUUUUUUACUUGAAAAUUAACAAAUUAUUCAAUUUCAUAUAAAAAAUAAAUAUUAAAGUGAGAAAAGAGAGAUAUUUUGAGAUUGAACUUGGAUAAAUAUUAGGUUUUUUUUAGUGAAAUUAAAAAUAUAGCAUUAAAUAUAAAUAUAUAUUGAAAUUAUAUAUAUUUUUAGUUUCACCGGUUCGGUUCGGCCCGGUUCGGUUUUUGAAGACAUGGAACCGGAUCCGGAACCGGUCCAAACCGGUUCGGUUCGGUUUUUGACCGGUUUUUGACUUUUUAGUCAACUCGGUUUUUUUCCGGUUUGGUUCGGUGCGGUUCGGCUUGGAUUUCCGGUUCGCCGGUUUGAGUGCCCACCCCUAAUAUGAAUCUGAACUAUACCAAGCACAUCUUCCAACUGUGAAUAGUAGGGUGUCUAGGUAAGGAUGCUC